rnacentral:tRNA from 1 species
GGAGAGAUGACCGAGUGGUCGAAGGUGCACGAUUGGAAUUCGUGUGUGCCCUAAAGGUACCGAGGGUUCGAAUCCCUCUCUCUCCG